CUCCCAUUCUGUGGGUUUUCUGUUUGCUCUUCUGGUUAUUUGGUUUGCUCUGCAGAAGCUUUUUAGCUUAAUUAGGCCCCAUCUAUUUAUUUCGUUUUGUUGCAUUUGCUUUCGGGUUCUUGGUCAUGAACUCUUUGCCUAAGCCAACGUCUGGAAGAGUUUUACCAAAGUUAUCUUCUAGAAUGUUUAUGAUUUCAUGUUUUAGAUUUAGGUCUUUGAUUCAUCUUGAGUUGAUUUUUGUAUAAGGUGAGAGAUGAGGAUCCAGUUUCAUUCUCCUACAUGGGACUUGCCAAUUAUCCCAGCACCAUUUGUUGAAUAGGGUGUCCUUUCCCCACUUUAUGUUUUUGUUUGCUUGGUUGAAGAUCAGUUGGCUGUAAGUAUUUGGCUUUAUUUCUGGGUUCUCUAUUCUGUUCCAUUGGUCUACAUGCCUAUUUUUAUGCCAGUACCAUGCUGUUUUGGUGACUAUGGCCUUAUAGGAUAGCUUGAAGUCAGGUAAUGUGAUGCCUCCAGAUUUGUUCUUUUUGCUGUGUCUUGCUUUGGCUAUGUGGGCUCUUUUCUGGUUCCAUAUGAAUUUUAGGAUUGUUUUUUCUAGUUGUUUGAAGAAUUAUGGUGGUAUUUUGAUGGGAGUUGCACUGAAUUUGUAGAUUGCUUUUGGCACUAUGGUCAUUUUCACAAUAUUGAUUCUACCCAUCCAUGAGCAUGGGAUGUGUUUCCAUUUGUUUGUGUUGUCUAUGAUUUCUUUCAGCAGUGUUUUGUAGCUUUCCUUGUAGAAGUCUUUCACCUCCUUGGUUGAGUAUAUUUCUAAGUAUUUUAUUUUAUUUUAUUUUUUGCAGCUGUUGUGAAAUGGAUUGAGUCUUUGAUUUAUUUCUCAGCUUGGUCGCUGUUGGUGUAUAGCAAUGCUACUGAUUUGUGUACAUUGAUUUUGCUUCCUGAAUUGAUUUUGAAACUUUACUGAAUUCAUUUAUCAGAUCUAGGAGUUUUUUGGAUGAGUCUUUAGGGUUUUAUAGGUAUAUGAUCAUAUCAUCGGCAAACAGCGAUGGUUUGACUUCCUCUUUACCGAUUUGGAUGCCCUUUAUUUCUUUCUCUUGUCUGAUUGCUCUGGCUAGGACUUCCAGUCUAUGUUGAAUAGAGGUGGUGAAAGUGGGCAUUCUUGUCUUGUUCCGGUUUUCAGGGGCAAUGCUUUCAACUUUUCCCCAUUCAGUAUAAUGUUGGCUGAGGGUUUGUCAUAGAUGGCUUUUAUUACCUUGAGGCAUAUCCCUUCUAUGCCAAUUUUGCUGAGAGUUUUAAUCAUGAAGGGAAGCUAGAUUUUGCCAAAUGCCUUUUCUGCAUCUAUUGAGAUAAUCACAUAAUUUUUGUUUUUAAUUCUGUUUAUGUGAAGUAUCACAUUUAUUGACUUGCAUAUGUUAAACUAUCCCUGCAUCCCUGCUAUGAAACCCACUUGAUUAUGGGUGUGUUAUCUUUUUGAUAUGCUGUUGGAUUCAGUUAGCUAGUAUUUUGUUGAAGAUUUUUGCAUCUAUGUUCAUCAGGGAUGCUGGUCUAUAGUUUUCUUUUUUUGUUAUGUCUUUUUCCGGUUUUAGAAUUAGGAUGAUACUUGCUCCAUAGAAUGAUUUAGGGAGGAUUCCCUCUUUGUCUUUUGGAAGAGUUUCAAUAAGAUUGGUACCAAUUCUUCUUUGAAUGCCUGUGAAUCCGUCUGGUCCUGGGCUUUAUUUUGUUGGCAAUUUUUUUUUUUUUUUUACUGUCUUAAUCUUGUUAUUGGUCUGUUUAGAGUUUCUAUUUCUUACUGAUUUAAUCUGGGAGGGUUGUAUAUUUCCAGGAAUUUAUCCAUCUCUAGAUUUUCUAGUUUGUGUGCAUAAAGGUGUCCACAGUAGCCUUUUGUAUUCCAGUGGUAUCAGUUGUAGUAUCUCCCAUUUCAUUUUUAAUUGAGCUUAUUUGGAUCUUCUCUUGUCUUUUCUUGGUGAAUCUCGCUAAUGAUCUAUCAAUUUUGUUUAUCUUUUCAAAGAACCAGCUUUUUGUUUCAUUUAUCUUUUGUAUAGGUUUUGUUAGUUUGAUUGUUUCCAUUUUAUUUAGUUCUGCUCUGAUCUUGAUUAUUUUUUUUUCUUCUGCUGGGUUUGGGUUUGGUUUGUUCUUGUUUCUCUAGUUCCUUGAAGUGUGACCUCAAGGCUGGGGCACAUUAGCCCUACCACCACACCCAGCUAUUUUUCUGUCUUCUUGUCUGAUGUUUUCUCACCCCAAGCCAGCACCACUGCCCUGCCAACUGCCAGGGUAUCCUCAGAUUCUAGGAGCACUGCCUAUUAUUAUUAUUUUUAAUUAUUCUUAUUUUUUGAGACUGGGUCUCACUCUGUUGCCCAGACUGGAGUGCAGUGGUGUGAUCUUGGCUCACUGUAAUCUCUGCCUCCUCAAGCAAUCCUCCUGCCUCAGCCUACCAAGUAGUUGGGACUGCAGGUGCACACCACAAUCCCUAGCUAAUUUUUGUAUAUUUUGUAGACAUGGAGUUUUGCCAUGUUGUCCAGGCUGGUCUUGAACUAUUAGACUCAAGCAAUCCUCCCACCUUGGCCUCUCAAAGUGCUUGGAUUACAGGCAUGAGCCACCACACCCGGCCCCUGAUUAGACUUGAAAAUAGUCUGAUUCCUAGGCCCAGAGAAAGUCUCUUGGGUCCACUUUUCCCUUCCCUGUUUGCAAGAACUCUGCCAUGGGGCUGGCCAGGUUUACUGCUGUUGGGCUGACAUGAUAAACCCACCAAAAGGGUGGCUCCUUUUUUGGAGAUCAGAAACUAGGCUGGUGGUUGCCCAGAGAGUGCUUUGAAGCAUCAUAGAGGAGAGGAAAUGCAUGGAAUGAUUGUGGGAAGACAGGGAGAAGGAACCAUAGGACCCCUUUUCUAAGUCUCAGGCAUUUCCUCCUCAUGGAAGAUGUGAGUUGACUGUAAAAUACAAGGAGGAAGGCUUCCAUGAUAAAGCAUGGUGUUCAGAGGAGCCCUGCAGAGUCAGGAAGGAGGGAAAGACAGAGGCUGGUCCACACGGUGCCCCAACUCUCAUUCUGGACCCCAAUUCAUCCAUUGACAUUGCAGGGAGAACGUGUGCAGUGGGCUGAAUGAUGACCCUAAAAACCUGCGAACGUGACCUUAUUUGGAAACGGGGUCUUUGCAGAUGUAAUUAAAGAUUUUGAGAUGAAGUGGUCAUCCUGAUUAUCCAAGUGAGCCUGAAAUCCAAUGACACAUGUCCUGAUAAAGGACACACAGAGGAAAAGACAGAAACAUGGAUGAAAAGGCAAAGUGAAGACAGAGCAAAGCCGUCCAAGCCAAGGAAUGCUGAUGGCACUAGAAGCUGGAAGAGGCAAGAAAGGAGCCUCUCCUAGGGCCUUCAGAGGGAGCGUGGCCCUGCUGACACUGCCGACACCUGGAUUUCGACUUCUGGCCUCCAGAACUGAAGGACCAUGUAAGAACAUAGCAAGAAGGCAGCCAUCUGCAGACCAGGAAGAGAGACCCCACCACAACCCAACCAUACCAGCACCCUGAUCUUGGGUUUCCAUAACUAUGAAAAAAUAAACUUCUGUUGUUUAAGCUAUUCUGUCUGUGUUAUUUUGUGAUGGCAGCCUGAACAGACUAAUACAGGGAUAUAUGAUCAAAAACAUUCGGAGACCACUGAGAAAUGGGUCAGUGUAGUUGGUUGUGGCAGUAACAGCUCCCACUUGUUCCUGGUUCCCUCGUUCCAUGCCCUUGGGUGG
rnacentral:lncRNA from 1 species